rnacentral:tRNA from 1 species
GAGGGAAUAGCCCAGUAGUAGAGUACAUGCCUAGCAUGCACAAGGUCCUGGGUUCAAUCCCCAGUACCUCCA